rnacentral:rRNA from 1 species
AGAGUUUGAUCAUGGCUCAGGAUAAACGCUGGCGGCGUGCCUAACACAUGCAAGUCGAACGUCCUUUUCUUGCUUCGGUAAGAAGAGGGAGUGGCGGACGGGUGAGUAAGACAUGGGUGACCUGCCCUAAAGUGAGGGAUACCGGCGAGAAAUUGCCGACAAGCCCGCAUGCGUUCUGUUUGGUAGAGCGAACAGAGCAAAGGUUUCCGUAAGGGAGCUGCUUUGGGAUGGGCCUGUGGCCGAUUAGCUAGUUGGUGGGGUAAGAGCCUACCAAGGCGACGAUCGGUAGCUGGUCUGAGAGGACGAUCAGCCACACUGGGAUUGAGAACGGCCCAGACUCCUACGGGGGGCAGCAGUGAGGAAUUUUCCGCAAUGGACGAAAGUCUGACGGAGCAACGCCGCGUGCAGGAGGACGCUUUUCGGAGUGUAAACUGCUUUUCUGUGGGAAGAGUGAGGACGGUACCACAGGAAGAAGCCCCGGCUAACUACGUGCCAGCAGUCGCGGUAAUACGUAGGGGGCGAGCGUUGUCCGGAGUUACUGGGCGUAAAGGGCAUGCAGGCGGUCGUACGCGUUUUGUGUGACAGCGGGUGGCUUAACUACCCGAGUAUGCGAAAGACGGUAUGACUUGAGGGCUCGAGAGGGACACGGAAUUCCGGGUGGAGUGGUGAAAUGCGUAGAGAUCCGGAGGAACACCGAAGGCGAAGGCAGUGUCCUGGCGAGUGACUGACGCUGAGGUGCGAAGCUAGGGGAGCGAACGGGAUUAGAUACCCCGGUAGUCCUAGCCGUAAACGAUGACCACCAGGUGUGGGAGGUAUCGACCCCUUCCGUGCCGGAGUUAACACACUAAGUGGUCCGCCUGGGGAGUACGGUCGCAAGAUUAAAACUCAAAGGAAUUGACGGGGACCCGCACAAGCAGCGGAGCGUGUGGUUUAUUUCGAUGCGA